rnacentral:misc_RNA from 1 species
CAAAAAUGUUCGAAUUGGUUAUUGAAUCAAUAGCAACAUCAAACAUAAACAUGUUCACAUAACACAAACACAGUAGAUCAAGAGACAAAUAAUAAUGCUGAGAUAGAAAAUCGCACAACCAAACUCAAACAGGUGGAGAAACAGGACUCCAAAAGCAUGACAAAUCAUCUGAGUUCCAAGAGUUCCUCAACUACUGUGAAAUGAGAAUGCAGGAGUAUAUGGAGCAAUAUAAUCACAUUGAUUGAUCAUUGCUUUCGAUGCAUUUGAAGGAACGUCUCAAUGAGACCAAAGAUUUACUACCAGGACAACCAAAAACUUCAAGUAGCGUAAUAGACUCUUGAAAUCAUAACAGAUCUCACAGGACUCUCAAAGUUCCCUCACUUCGACUCCUGUGCAUUGACAGCUCUGAUCUAAAGUUCAGUUUGUUACUGAUAUCAAAAUAAUGAUGCCGAAGAUUGGUUGUUGCCUUAGUCCCAGUUGGUGGCAGACGAACAUGCCUACCCCUGGACCGCUUCGGUGAGACUACAGCUUGACUUUUACGACCGUGAAUUGAUGAAGAUGUUGGCCUGGUGCCAGCUAGUCCAUGGCUACUCUUCCGUGUAGCUUUGUUAUCUGACUUUAGGCCACGAUCAAACUGAUGGGCAUUGAUGCCCAGCCUUACUGAUCGGUCUGCAGCAUCUUUUAAUGUGCUGACUCUAAUUGGCUGCCUG